GGGGGGGGGGGGGGGGGGGGCGGGGGGAGGGAGGGCGGGGGGGGGGGGGGGGGGCUGGCGGCUGUGACGUGGGGGGCGGACGGGUGAGGAACACGUGGAUAGCCUACCUAUAAGACGGGGAUAACUGCGGGAAACCGGAGCUAAUACCGGAUAAUAUAUUGGACCGCAUGGGUCAAUAGUGAAAGCCGGGUUUGCUGGCACUUAUAGAUGGAUCCGCGCCGCAUUAGCUAGUUGGUAAGGUAACGGCUUACCAAGGCAACGAUGCGUAGCCGACCUGAGAGGGUGAUCGGCCACACUGGAACUGAGACCCGGUCCAGACUCCUACGGGAGGCAGCAGUAGGGAAUCUUCCGCAAUGGGCGAAAGCUUGACGGAGCAACGCCGCGUGAGUGAUGAAGGUCUUCGGAUCGUAAAACUCUGUUAUUAGGGAAGAACAAAUGUGUAAGUAACUAUGCACGUCUUGACGGUACCUAAUCAGAAAGCCACGGCUAACUACGUG
rnacentral:rRNA from 1 species